rnacentral:rRNA from 1 species
GAUGAACGCUGGUGGCGUGCCUAACACAUGCAAGUCGAGCGAUUCUCUUCGGAGAAGAGCGGCGGACGGGUGAGUAACGCGUGGUUAACCUGCCCUGUACACACGGAUAACAUACCGAAAGGUAUGCUAAUACGAGAUAACAUGCUUUUAUCGCAUGGUAGAAGUAUCAAAGCUUUUGCGGUACAGGAUGGACCCGCGUCUGAUUAGCUAGUUGGUGAGUUAAAGGCUCACCAAGGCGACGAUCAGUAGCCGACCUGAGAGGGUGGUCGGCGACACUGGAACUGAGACACAGUGCGAAAUACUACGGGAGGCAGGAAUGGGGAAUAUUGCACAGUGGGGGAAGGGCUGAUGCAGCAACGACGGGUGAGCAAUGAAGGCCGUCGGGUAGGAAAGCUCGGUACUCAAGGAAGAUAAUGACGGUACUUGAGGAAGAAGCCCCGGCUAACUACGUG